rnacentral:rRNA from 1 species
GAUGAACGCUGGCGGCGUGCCUAAUACAUGCAAGUCGAACGAAACUUCUUUAUCACCGAGUGCUUGCACUCACCGAUAAAGAGUUGAGUGGCGAACGGGUGAGUAACACGUGGGCAACCUGCCCAAAAGAGGGGGAUAACACUUGGAAACAGGUGCUAAUACCGCAUAACCAUAGUUACCGCAUGGUAACUAUGUAAAAGGUGGCUAUACUACCGCUUUUGGAUGGGCCCGCGGCGCAUUAGCUAGUUGGUAGGGUAAAGGCUUACCAAGGCAAUGAUGCGUAGCCGAAUUGAGAGGUUGAUCGGCCACAUUGGGACUGAGACACGGCCCAAACUCCUACGGGAGGCAGCAGUAGGGAAUCUUCCACAAUGGGCGAAAGCCUGAUGGAGCAACGCCACGUGGGUGAAGAAGGUCUUCGGAUCGUAAAACCCUGUUGUUAGAGAAGAAAGUGCGUGAGAGUAACUGUUCACGUUUCGACGGUAUCUAACCAGAAAGCCACUGCUAACUACGU